AAAGUCGUAACAAGGUUUCCGUAGGUGAACCUGCGGAAGGAUCAUUAAAGAAUGUCACCUUUUGGUACAAUCUUAUCAUCCCUUUGUCUACCAUCCCUGUUGCUUCCAUGGUGCCAGUCCGUGCUACUUCUUUAGAAGUGCCGGCUUCGUGUAUACCAGCGUGUGAAAACCUGGUUCGAAAGUGCCCAUGGGUAUUAAAAAAUUUGACUUGUGAAAAUUGUCUGAAUAAAUGUGAGAAUGAAAUAAAACUUUCAACAACGGAUCUCUAGGCUCUU
rnacentral:misc_RNA from 1 species